rnacentral:rRNA from 1 species
UACGAAGGGGGCUAGCGUUGCUCGGAAUCACUGGGCGUAAAGCGCACGUAGGCGGCUUUCUAAGUCAGGGGUGAAAUCCUGGAGCUCAACUCCAGAACUGCCUUUGAUACUGGAGAGCUUGAGUCCGGAAGAGGUGAGUGGAACUCCGAGUGUAGAGGUGAAAUUCGUAGAUAUCGGGAGGAACACCAGUGGCGAAGGCGGCGAUCUGGGUCGAUACUGACGCUGAGGUGCGAAAGCGUGGGGAGCAAACAGG